rnacentral:rRNA from 1 species
UACCAGCGCCCCGAGUGGUCGGGACGAUUAUUGGGCCUAAAGCAUCCGUAGCCGGUUUUACAAGUCCUCCGUUAAAUCCAGCUGCUUAACAGAUGGGCUGCGGAGGAUACUAUAAGACUAGGAGGCAGGAGAGGCAAGCGGUACUCAGCGGGUAGGGGUAAAAUCCGUUGAUCCAUUGAAGACCACCAGUGGCGAAGGCGGCUUGCCAGAAUGCGCUCGACGGUGAGGGAUGAAAGCUGGGGGAGCAAACCGG